UGGGGAAUAUUGGUCAAUGGGCGAAAGCCUGAACCAGCAAUGCCGCGUGAGUGAUGAAGGCCUUCGGGUUGUAAAGCUCUGUCAGGGGGAACGAAAAAGCCGACUAAUAACCGGUGUAUUGACGGUACCCCCAAAGGAAGCACCGGCUAACUCUGUGUCAGCAGCCGCGGUAAUACAGAGGGUGCAAGCGUUGUUCGGAAUUACUGGGCGUAAAGCGCGUGUAGGCGGCCUAUUAAGUCAGAUGUGAAAUCCCUUGGCUCAACCAAGGAACUGCAUCUGAUACUGGAAGGCUAGAGUGUCGGAGGGGAUGGUAGAAUUCCUGGUGUAGAGGUGAAAUUCGUAGAUAUCAGGAGGAAUACCUGUGGCGAAGGCGACCAUCUGGAAGACAACUGACGCUGAGACGCGAAAGCGUGGGUAGCAAACAG
rnacentral:rRNA from 1 species